rnacentral:misc_RNA from 1 species
GAUGAAGAACGUAGCGAAAUGCGAUAGGUAAUGUGAAUUGCAGAAUUCAGUGAAUCAUCGAAUCUUUGAACGCACAUUGCGCCCGCCAGUAUUCUGGCGGGCAUGCCUGUUCGAGCGUCAUUUCAACCCUCAAGCCCCCGGGCUUGGUGUUGGGGAUCGGCGUGCCCUCGCGGCGCGCCGUCCCCUAAAUCUAGUGGCGGUCUCGCUGUAGCUUCCUCUGCGUAGUAGCAACACUCGCACUGGAUCGCAGCGCGGCCACGCCGUUAAACCCCCCACUUCUGAAAGUUUGACCUCGGAUCAGGUAGGAAUACCCGCUGAACUUAAGCAUAUCAAUAAGCGGAGGA